rnacentral:rRNA from 1 species
UACGGAGGGCGCAAGCGUUAUCCGGAUUCACUGGGUUUAAAGGGCGCGCAGGCGGCUUUGUGAGUCAGUGGUGAAAGGCUUAAGCUUAACUUGGGAACUGCCAUUGAUACUAUAAGUCUUGAAUGUUGUUGAGGUUUGCGGAAUGGGUCAUGUAGCGGUGAAAUGCAUAGAUAUGACCCGGAACACCUAUUGCGAAGGCAGCAGGCUAAACAAAUAUUGACGCUGAGGCUCGAAAGCGUGGGGAUCAAACAGG